rnacentral:tRNA from 1 species
GAGGGUGUAGUUCAGUGGUAGAGUGCAUGCUUAGCAUGCACAAGGUCCUGAGUUCAAGCCCCAGUACCUCCA